UCUCUCUCACUCUCUGCAAGAGAUUGAAUUAUUGACCCAAAUCCUUCACCCCUCACUGUACUAUUGGCCUUUGUUUUAUAACUUUGCAGUUACUCUUGCUAGACGUGGAAUGUACUUCCCUAUCCUUUGACCUUGUUUAUACUCAGCGUGUGACUUGAUUACACCAAUGGACUUUACUGCCCCUUCAACCUGGGCUUCAAAAGGUGAACACGUACAGCAGAUGUGAGAGCAACCACCAGCAAGGAACAAAACCUGCACUCAGCAGAACCCAGCCUAGAUCCGCUGACCAGCCAACCAACAUAGAGAUACAUUCAUGAGAAUAAAUAAUUGCUAAAAUCAAGAACAGCUUCCCAACUCAUUUUGUGAGGCCAUCAUGUCUAAUCCUAAAAUCAAGAAAGGCAUACAAGAAAAGAAAACCACAGACUAAGGUUCUUCCUGAACAUGGAUGCACAAAGCAUUGACAAAAUACGAGCAAAUUGCAUCCAGCAAGGUGCACAGAGGAAAGGCCAUAUGAUCACACAGAGGGAAGGUGGCCGUCCACAAGCCAAGAGAAGAGGGCUCAAAAUGAAACCAAUCCACCUGGAGCCUGGAUCUGGGGCUUUU
rnacentral:lncRNA from 1 species